rnacentral:rRNA from 1 species
CAAUAGCGUAUAUUAAUGUUGUUGCAGUUAAAAAGCUCGUAGUUGAAUUUCUGGCGGGCGCGCCGGUCUUCCAAGUGUUGUACUGGGCGCAGUCCGCCAUCCUUGUGGAGAGGGCUCGCAUUGAGUUGCGUGUCGGAUCUGCAUCAUUUACUGUGAAAAAAUUAGAGUGUUUAAAGCAGGCUGUCGCUUGAAUACAUUAGCAUGGAAUAAUAAGAUAGGACUUCGGUCUAUUUUGUUGGUUGCGAACCGAGGUAAUGAUUAAUAGGGAUAGUUGGGGGUAUUCAUAUUUAAUUGUCAGAGGUGAAAUUCUUGGAUUUAUGAAAGAUGAACAACUGCGAAAGCAUUUACCAAGGAUGUUUUCAUUAA